rnacentral:ncRNA from 1 species
UUUCUCUCAGGAUAGCUUGCUAGUUGAGACGGGUCUCAUCCGAUAAAGCAAAUGAUUAGAGGCAUUAGGGUGGAAACUACCUCAAUCAAUUCUCAAUCGCCAAAGUGAUGAGAUCCCGCUUUUUUCUUAAAAAGAAAGCUGUGGGAAUAAGAUUACAGUGCCAAGUGGGCCCAAAAUUUUGGUACGCAGAACUGGAACUGUGGGAUAAUCCA